GGAUAGCUGAGUGGGUUAGAGCAUGGUGCUAAUAACACCAAGGUUGCAGGUUUGAGCCUUGUAAGGGACA